CUCGGGUCUCGAGGACUCAGUCUAUAAUUGUGCACCUUGCUGACUGGUUCUGUGCCAGUUUAACGCGAGCCCUUGCCUGGACAGCACGGCCAGUGCAAGCAACAAGAGAAAUCAAAUAAAACAAUAAAUAAAGAACAAAAAAAAUGUACUCUUUAAUUGAUUAAGCCAGACAGAAAAAAAAGUUAAAAGAAAGGAAAAACACAGACAACACAACGAGUUAGAUACGCACAAAAACAACUUUUCGUUGCAAAAUCGCAUGCUAGAAAAUUUGAAAAUAUAAAAGCUAAACCAAAAAAACCACAAAACCAAACAAAAUCAAUUCAAAAUUAAAUUCUAAAAGUUGCAUCAAAUUAAAGAACACACACAUCUAUAUAGAGAACUCAGUAAUAAAGAAGAAUAAAACCAA